rnacentral:lncRNA from 1 species
UUAAGGUUUUGGGCUAGAACUUUGGGCUAGGUUUAGGUAUUUGGAUUGGGUUUCGGGUUUGGGCCUAUUGUAAGUGGGUUUGAGUGUAUUUAUUUCUUCUUGUGUGUUUAGUUCUUUUUAAUAGUUUGGCCGGGCAAUUUUGGGCCAUAACAGUUGCCCCUCUUUGCUCGUUGUCGUGUAACGAGAAUGAAGCAAAGACCACAAAAAGACCAAUUUUUCCUGGUCUUGCCACAUCUCGACCUCUUUAUGCUCAUCUUCUUCAAGUAGCCCCAUUCCAACCCACUGCAUCUUCAGGGGUAUAGAGAUUGUGUUUUCAAUCUACUCUAUGUCCUCAGUCCGCUCCAUUGUGACUUCGAGAAGCCUAAUACCCUACUGCUUAGGGGGUUAAGGCUUGCUGUCUUCGAUUUGUUCCACUACUGUUUAGGGGAGAUCUGUAUUUUCCAGCAUGUUACCCUACUGCUUAAGGGGUUAAGGCUUACUGUCUUCGAUCUGCUCCACUACUAUUUAGGAGAGAUCUGUAUUUUCCAACCUAUUACCCUAUUACUUAAGAGGUUAAGGCUUACUGUCUUUGUUCUGCUCCACUACUGUUUAGGGGAGAUCUGUAUUUUCUAGCCUGUUACCCUACUGCUUAGGGAGUUAAGGCUCGUAUCUUCAACCUGCUCUCUUGCUACCUCAGAGAGAUAAGGUCAGUGGCUAAAAUCUUCUCCAUAGCCGAUACAUGGAGAUAAGCUCGCCAUCUUUGAUCUGCUCCAUAGUCAAUACUUGAAGAUAAGAUUUGUAAUUUUUAGCCUGUUACCCUACUGCUUAGGGGGUUAAGACUCGUAUCUUCAACCUGCUCUCUUGCUACCUUAGAGAGAUAAGGUCGGUGGCUAAAAUCUGCUCCAUAGUCGAUACAUGGGGAUAAGACUCGCCAUCUUUGAUCUGAUCCAUAGCCGAUACAUGGAGAUAAGAUCUGUAAUUUUUAGCUUGUUACCCUACUGCUUAGGGGGUUAAGGCUCGUAUCUUCAAUCUGCUCUCUUGUUAUCUCAGAGAGAUAAGGCUGGUGGCUUAAAUCUGCUCCAUAGCCGAUACAUGGAGAUAAGACUCGCCAUUUUCGAUCUACUCCAUAGCCGAUACAUGGAGAUAAGAUCUGCAAUUUUCAGCCUGUUACCCUACUGCUUAGGGGGUUAAGGCUCGUAUCUUUAACCUGUUCUCUUGCUACCUCAGAGAGAUAAGGCUGGUGGCUAAAAUCUACUCCAUAGCCGAUACAUGGAGAUAAGACUCGCCAUUUUUGAUCUACUCUAUAGUCGAUACAUGGAGAUAAGAUCUGUAAUUUUUAGUCUGUUACCCUACUGUUUAAGGGGUUAAGGCACGUGACUUCACCGAUACCACUGCACUGUCCUCUGAGGAACAUGAUCUGUAAAAUCGAUUUCAUGUAUCUAUGCUUAUGCCAAAUAAUUAGGAUGCUAUGAUCGAAAUGAAUCAAAUGCUCUUAGCUAGAUGUGAUAUUUAUGUCAAAUAAUUAGGAUGCUAUAAUCAAAAUGAAUCAAAUGCUCCUAACUAGAUGUACUAUGAAUUUCAUUGGUAUGAAUGCAGAAUGUCAUGAAGAAUGCAUUUUCUAACGUUUAAACUAUUAUUGCUCGCUAUUUGUCAUUGACAUAUUUCUUCUCGUUCAACCGAUAUCUUUAACAGAUAUCUGAAGCAGUAGUCUUAACUUAAACCUUUUAACUUCUUAAGUAACUCUAACCCUUAAGCUUGGUGGGUUCUGAAUAAUUGACCUAUUUUGGGUUCUUACACUACUUAGAAGCUCCUAGAGUAAUAUUCAGAACUCCUUUUAUGAAAGUGUUAUUAGUCCAUUGAUCAAUAUUUCAAUAGGAAAUGCUUUGAAAAAUAUUAUCAAAAUGAGCAAAAUGAAACUUUAUUGAGAACGAAGCUCAAAGUAGAAAAUCAAUCAAGAUAACAGAUUUUACUAAGGUACAAAAGAUGUAUAAGAUGGAAAAUUGGUGCCCCAGAUAUUGCAGCAUGAGCUUCUCUAUUCGGACUGUUCAAAAACCCCUGGGAGCCAAAUGUGUGUUUAGGAGGUCCAAAGUAUUUCGUUGAUGCCUUCAAGACGUGAUGUUCCUCCCUCUUGUUAAUUCUGGUAGAAUAAGGUCGCAACCUGCCCCAUUCUUGAUCACAAUUUAAGCUGCCCUUUUUUAGGUUUUCGACUCAAAAACUCAUUUGGUCUCAAAGCACCCUUUGCAGGUUUUCGCCUUAGCCUCUCCAUUUUUUUUUAUUUUUUUCAAAGCGCCCCUUUUCGGGUUUUCGCCUUGGCCUUUCCUUUUUCAGGUGAAGUACUUCUUGACUGAAUAUAAAUUUACCGGGUUGGGAAGGUUUUUACCAUCCAUUUAUACUAAUAUCAGUGCCCCUCCAGAAAAAGCCUUCUUCAUUACAUAAGGUCCUUCCCAGUUUGGAAUCCAUUUCCCUCGAAAAUCCUUUUGCAUAGGGAGAAUCUUUUUCAAUACCAAGUCCCCUUCCUGGAAUACUCUUGGGUGAACUUUCUUGUUGUAAGCUUGCAUCAUUCGUUUCUGGUACAUUUGCCCAUGACGGAUAGCCUUCAGCCUCUUUUCUUCAAUCAAGUUCAGCUGGUCGUACCAGGAUUGGACCCAUUCUGAUUCAUCUAGCUUUAAUUCAGAUAAAACCCGAAGAGAAGGAAUCUCGACUUCAAUAGGCAAAACUGCCUCUAUCCUAUAGACCAACGAGAAAGGUGUUACCCCGGUAGAAGUUCUGAUCGACGUUUGAUAGGCAUAGAGAGCAAAUGGAAGCUUUUCAUGCCAAUACUUGUAGGUCUCAGCCAUUUUCCCCACGAUCUUUUUUAUAUUUUUAUUAGCCGCCUCAAUUGCCCAAUUCAUCUUUGAGCGAUAUGGUGAUGAGUUGUGGUGCUUAAUUUUGAAUUGACUGCAGACCUCCAUUAUCACGUUGUUGUUCAAAUUUAAUGCAUUGUCAGAUAUGAUCCUCUCUGGCAUGCCAUAUCGACAUAUGAUUUCUUUUUUCAAGAACUUGCUAACCGCCGACUUCGUGACGUUGGCGUAUGAAGUAGCCUCCACCCACUUGGUGAAAUAAUCGAUGACCACAAAGAUGAAACAAUGUUCAUUAGAAGCCUUCGAUGAAAUCGGCCCAAUGACGUCUAUGCCCAACAUUGAGAAAGGCCAUGGGGAAGUCAUAACAUGAAGAGGUGAAAGAGGCACAUGAAUUUUGUCACCAUAAAUUUGGCACUUAUAGCAUUUCUUGGCAUAGUUGAUACAAUCUCCUUCCAUUGUAGACCGGUAAUACCCGAAUCUCAUGAUUUGUCUGGCCAUUGUGAACCCGUUGGCAUGCAUCCCGCAGACACCUUCAUGGACUUCUUCCAGGAUUUUCUUUGCUUCAACAGUGUUAACACAUUUUAGCAGCACUUGGUCUUUCCUUCUUUUAUACAGGAUUUCCCCGUCUAAGUCAUAGUCAACGGCCACUCUCCUCAACGUUCUUUUAUCAUUUUCAGUUGCCUGAUUAGGAUAUAAACGAUUUUUCAUAUAUCGUAGAAUAUCCAAAUACCAAGGAUGAUUAUCCCUCUCUUUCUUUUUGUCGAUAUUGCAGCAAUGUGCUGGAGCAUCACAAAUACUCAUCAGGAUCGGCUUCAUAUCCUCUUGUUUAUUUGCUAUGAUCAUGGAAGAUAAUGUAGCCAGCUCAUCAGCCAUCUGAUUUUCAUCACGCGGGAGGUAAUGAAAAGUGAUAUCGUUAAACACCUUGAUUAAAUCCAGGACCUGCUCUUGGUAGUUGAUCAAUUUUGGGUCUCUUGUUUCCCAUUCACCUUUGAGCUGAUAGAUCACCGGUGCAGAAUCCCCGUACACCUCUAACACCUUGAUUUUGAGCUCUACGGCCGCACGAAUACCCAUGAUACAUGCUUCGUACUUUGCCAUAUUAUUUGUGCAAUCAAAAUUUAAUUUGCAAGUGAAUGGAUAAUGAUCUCCGUUUGGGAAUAUCAUGACUGCCCCAAUUCCAUUACCCACGGUGUUUGAUGUGCCAUCAAAAUUCAAUUUCCAAUGAUGAUCUUCUGGAGUGUCUUCUUGGGUGGUUGCCACAUACAUUAGAUCUUCGUUGGGAAAAUCAAAGUUCAAAGGCUCAUAAUCUUCUAAAGCUCUACUAGCUAGAAAAUCUGCUACUACACUCCCUUUUACUACCUUCUGGUUCACAUAAACUAUGUCGAAUUCAGAAAGUAGAAUUUGCCAUCAGGUCAUCCUUCCAUUCAGAGUGGCUAACUCCAUUAUGUACUUAAGGGGAUCUAAUUUCGAGAUUAACCAAGUCGUAUGGUACAACAUGUAAUGCCUCAAUCUCCGGGCUAUCCAGACCAAAGCGCAACAUAGCUUCUCAAUUGGCGAAUAUCUCAUCUCACACUCAGUGAAUUUCUUACUGAGGUAGUAUAUCGCCUUUUCUUUCUUUCCUGUCUCAUCGUGUCGGCCAAGCACACAUCCCAUUGAAUGGUCAAAUACUGUCAAAUACAAUAUCAAUGGUCUACUCAGGUUGGGUGAUGUUAACACCGGGGGAUUGGACAGAUAUUGUUUAACCCUGUCAAAGGUCUUCCAGCACUCUUUAUCCCACACACCUGGGUUGUGUUUCUUGAGAAGACAAAAUAUGGGGUCGCAUUUCUCGGUUAGUUGUGAAAUAAACCGGGCGAUGUAGUUUUGUCUUCCCAGAAAACCUCGAACUUCCUUCUGAGUGCGUGGCAGGGGUAAUUGCUGUAUAGCCUUAACUUUGUCGGGGUCAACCUUGAUUCCUUUUUCACUGACGACAAAAUCAAGUAGCUUUCCUGAUCUAGCUUUAAAAAUACAUUUUGUUGGAAUGAGUUUUAGCUGGAACUUUCUCAGCCGCAAGAACAAUUUUCUCAAAACUUGUAUGUGCUCUUUUUCUGUUCGAGAUUUUGCAAUCAUAUCGUCAAUGUAAACCUCAAUCUCCUUGUGCAUCAUGUCAUGAAACAAGGUUACAAUAGCUCUUUGAUAUGUUGCUCCCGCAUUUUUUAACCCAAAUGGCAUUACCUUAUAACAAAAUGUUCCCCAUAAGGUUAUGAACGUGGUUUUUUCCAUGUCUGCAGGAUGCACUUUAUUUGAUUGUAUCCCGAGAAACCAUCCAUGAAAAAGAACAAUGAGUAACCCGCCGUAUUAUCCACCAGAGUGUCAAUAUGGGGCAGCGAGAAGUUUUCUUUUGGGCUAGCCUUGUUUAGGUCUCUGUAAUCUACACACAUCCACACUUUUCUAUCUUUCUUAAGGACGGGGACCACAUUGGUUACCCAUUCCGAGUAAUUCACCACUUGUAAGAACCCAGCAUCAAAUUGUUUCCUGACCUCUUUUCUUAUUUUUACUACAACAUCGGGUCUCAUCCUUCGGAGCUUCUGUUGAACAGGCUUGCACUCUUCUUUUAUAGGGACUCGAUGUACUACAAUAUCAGCGCUUAACCUAGGCAUGUCUUGAUACGACCAUACAAAGACGUCUUUGAACUCUUGUAGUAGUUUAAUGAGGUCUCACCUUGUUUCCUUGGUUAUGUAAGUCCCAAUUUUCACUUCUUUCCUUUCUUCCAAGGUUACAUUCUCGGUUGUCUCUUUAUGGGGUAGAAUUUGUUUCUCUUCCCGUUCUACCAUCCUUAACAAAUCUGGAGAUAACCCACAAUCUUCGUCAUCUUCAAAAUCUUGAGAUCCUUCUAAACACAUAUCUCGCUCGAAAGGAGAUUCUGGGUCCGUAACAGUGUCGCUCGUACCGUUGAUAUCUAAAGACCUAUUGUAACACGAAAGAAAUAUCCAAAGAAUGAAUCUAAGAGUGGCUUACUUGUAUGGUAUGAUUAUGAAUGUAACGAGAAUAUUAAAGAAUAUUUGCUCAGAAUGAGACAAAAAAAUGCAUUUCUUAUUGAAAAUAAAGGUGUUUGAACAUGAGCCUAUUUCACAAAAGAUUCCUAUUGUUUCUAGGCUUAAACAAUAAGUGUGUUCUGAGCAUUACUCUGUAUUAGCUCUAUGAACUACAGGAAUUUCUUCUACGGUCCAAUUGUUUAGAACACUGCCAGGCUCAUAAGGGUGAAUGCCUGAUAAAUCUCCUUCCAUUCACUCCCUCCUCAGAUAGGGGGUUGAUGCUCAAACUGCCGAUCAAAUCUUCAGCUGUCCCUUCUCUUAUCAUCUCUGAUUCAAGAUGAAUAAUUCCCCCUGACACGAAUGUAUUAAAUAUAUGGAGAAAGGUCAUCGACCCUCACUUGACUUCUGCCCCACUCAGUCAUGCCCUUCGUCUAUCCUGUUUCCUCUCCAACUCUUCCUUCCUUUGUCUAGCGUUUGGUCUAUACCCUAAACCAAAAUGAUCCCGCUUGCCAACUAAACCGACACUUUGACCCGUCUGUGAAGGAAUUUUUCAAGUCUCCUUUCAGGCAAUGCCCCUUUUCCUACCAUCAGUCGGAAGCUCAUCCUCAUAGCUUCGGAUAUUUUCGGCAUUGGGAUCUUACCUCCUUCGAUAAUGAAAGUCGUGUUGACAAAUUCUAAUGACCAAAAGGAACACUUAAUUGCUUCAUCAUCAUUCUCGAUGUACGGCGCGUCACUAGUAACAGAGGCGAUAAUGUCCUCCUCUGUAUUUAUGGUUAUCAGCUGACCCUCCGUUACCAACUUCAGCUUCUGGUGCAAUGAUGAUGGUACCACUCCCGCUAAGUGAAUCCAAGGCCUCGUCAGUAAACAAUUAUAAGAGGGCCUGAUGUCCAUCACGAGAAAGUCUACCUCGUACAUGUUGGGUCCGAUCGAAAGGGGGAUCUCAAUUCUACCCAUUACUUUCCUCUCGCUGCCAUCAAACGCUCUCACUAUGUUCUGGCAUGUCUUCAUAUGAGAGCUAUCUAUAGGUAAACUGUUCAAUGUGGGUAGCGGCAAUACAUUCAGCGUCGACCCAUUGUCAAUCAAUACCCCCAGUAGUGUAUACUCGUUGCACUUAGUAGUGAUGUGCAAAACCUUGGUGGACCCCAUGCCACAUGGCGGUAUCUCAUCAUCGCUGAAAGAAAUGAAGUUAUCGGCACUUAUAUUGCUGACAAGAUGGUCUAGCUUGUUCACCGAAAUGUCAUCAGCGACAUAAGUUUCAUUCAACACCUUCAUCAACGUAUUACAGUGUACCUCUGAAUUUUGGAGCAAAGCUAGUACCGAGGUGCGUGCUGGCUGCUUGUACAACUGUUCCACAACACUAUACUCACUGUGUUUCAGGAACUUCAGAAAUUCUUUUGCUUCAUCCGCGAUUACCGGUUCAUUAACCAGUGGUUUUGUCCUCUCUUCCCCCUGUUCAAACAUCAAAAAUUCCUCUUUUACAGGCUCGACUUUUGUAUCUGGCGUUCUGACCAGCCUCCCCUCUCCUAAUGACGUCACAUUACAGUUAUAAUUCCAAGGCACAUUUUUGUUGUCCUUGUAAGGAAAAGCCACGGGUUUCUGAAUCACAACUCUUGGCGUCGUUCUUGCUCCAACUUCAUCGACUUUUGAUCGUGAAAUGAUCAUCACUGAGUGAUUGACCUUACAGACCCUCUUUAUUAGCCCCUCCUCCGAGGCGCACACAUCUUUCUCCUCAGCAAACUCAAAGAACUCCAGCUCCUUGUUGUCCAUUAGACCUUGCACCAGGGCUCUGAAUUCAUUGCAUGUUUCAAUCUCAUGGUCCUCCUCUUCGUGGAACUCACAAUAGUUCCUUACUUCUCGGGAUUUGCUCCCAAAGUCUUGCAUGAUUAAACCUCUCUCUACCAUCUUUUUCAAGACCUCCCUCAUCGGGGUUUUCACUUCUGCUACAUCCAACUUAACUCUCAUUCCCAUAUUCUCGACUACCGCAUUUACCCCACUAACAGUAUGAUUGGGUAACGGGUUUCUCGCAUCAGGUGCAUCAUCAAACUUCACAACACCCAUGUUGAUGAGCCUUUUGACUAUCCUUUUGAAGGAGGUGCAAUUCUCUAUCGAGUGUCCCGCGAUGCCCGCAUGAUAUUCACAUUGGGCACUUGCAUCAUACCACUUGGGGUAUGGGGGUUGCAACGGUUUUAAGUAGAACGGGGAUACAACAUGCACAUCGAAUAAAAUUUUGUACAGCUCUCGAUAUGUUAUUGGAAUAAGAGUGAACCAGAGCUUCUCUAUGCUUUGUUUUGUACUGGGCUCCUGUCUUGACGAAGCUUGCUAGCCCGUGAUCGUCGUUUUUGGUUGAUUAACUGUGAUUGGUUUUACAUGACCCAUGCUUACAUUGCCGACCUCAUUUUCUCUCUUCUUCGGGGCUGACCUUCUGGCGCUCUCCCCAGCCUCUAUCUUUCCGCACCUUCUCGCAUUCUCUACCAUUUCACCGGACAUCACUAUGUCUGUGAAACUCUUUGUUGUGCCUCCCAGCAUGUGGUUAAUAGAAGGUGCCUUCAAAGUAUUAAUGAAAAGCAUGGUUGUCUCCUUUUUCCAAAAGCGGCGGUUGAACUUGCGUAGCGACUUCCCUCCACCUCUGAGCAUACUGCUUGAAACUCUCAUUUGACUUCUUCUCCAUGUUCUGUAACGUGAUCUGAUCAAGCACUAUGUCUGUCACAUGGCCAUACUGCUUCAUGAAGGCUUGUGCUAAGUCCCUCCAUAAUUUAAUUUGGGUGCGACUCAACUGAUUGUACCAUUUGACCACAACCCUACUCAGACUAUCCUGGAAAUAGUGAACUAGCAACUGAUCAUUAUUGACAUGACCAGUCAUCCUCCGAAAAAACAUCGUGAUGUAGGCCUCAAGGCAGCUAGUUCCGCUGUAUUUCUCAAACUCUGGCAUUUUGAACUUCGGAGGGAGCACUAGAUUUGGAACCAAACUCAACUCUUUAGCAUCCAUACCACAUUGAUAAUCUGCGCUUUCCAGCAUCUUGAAUUUCUCUUCCAGCCAUUUGUAUCGGACUUCCAGUUGCUCUAAGAGUUCUUCUUUUACCUUCCCCACCUCUGCCAUCUCAUCAAAGUCAGGGACCGAAGGAUUUACCCGAUCGUCAUCGGGUUUAGAACACGAGCCCAUCAAGAAAUUCAUUGGUGCCGAAAUACCAGCCUGAUACUGAGGUUUGAUAUUGACAGACACCCUUUGUGGUGGUACUGGGGUAUUCACUGGGGUGAAACCUGGAGGGUAUGUAAGGAUCUCGCUAUCGCCAUCUGGGUUGACCAUAGGAUUCUUCCCUUUUCCUGGCCCUCUGAGCAACAACUGAGUUAGCUGAUUCAUCAUGUCCUUCUACGAUUAUUGCACCUGAUCUUUCAUAUCCUGUUGAAUCUUGGCCAGUUGUUCUUGCAUCUGUGCUUGCAGCCACUCCUGCAUUUCUUUCUGCAUUCGUUCCAGUUUCUCCAGCUUUUGAUCCAUAAUUUUGGUCUUUUUCCGUGUGUAGUAUUGAUGUUCCAGGGUAACUAUAAUACAAUUACUUUUAAUUAGGGUUCCUUUGUGAAGUUUAAUGCACAUUAUGUUAUAUAAUGCAAAUGCAUGAUAUGUAUGCAAGACUAAAUAAAUGUUGAUUCUGAUUCAAUUUCAAUUAGAAAACUUUAUUAGAAAACAAAAAUCUUUACAUAAAAAAGAUCAUAUAUACGGCUUGGCCUUAAUGCUUAAAGUUUAAAUUCUCUUAAGGAGACAAGCCAGCUCACGACCCCGGUCUGACUCUAACUCAUACUUCACACUUAACACAUUAGCUUGAACCACUAAGGUCUGUAAAUGAUCGGCCACUUCUCGAAUCUGAGCCACAGCUUCGCCCAUUAUAUGAUCUCUAUCCCUGACCUGGUCCUGUGGUCGAUGAAACUGUUCCUUCCAUUGCUCAUUAUUCGACUCAAGGAAUUCAAUUCGAAGCUCACAAUUUUGUAACUCAGCCUCAAGUUCUUCUACCUUUCCUUUCAAAUCUUUGAUUCUACUCAGGCUAACCCUUAGUUCAAUAUCAAAGUUAUGACCACGACUCUGAUGCAAUGCCUUUUCUAAUUCCACUAUCCGAGCUACUAAUAUCUGCUUCUCAUCUUGACCCUCGACCAAACUCUUCUUUAAAGUGCUUUCGCGUGCUCAAGCAUCAUGGAAUCUCUUCUCCCACUGAUCAGCUCUAGCCUUUUCUUCUUGAAUUUCUUGUCGCCACUGCUCCGAUGUCUUUCCCAAUCCGGCUGUUCUCAUCAAUGUACGUAGCUUCUUGUAAUCAGCCUUUUCCCCUUCCUUAACUUCUCGGCCUCGAGUUUCUGAACAUCGGCAUCUAACCUCAAGUGUAUCUUUUCCUCCAAUUGCUCUAUCUUUUUUCCUAACUCUAAAUUUCUCUUUUCGAAGUCAUGCUUUAUGAUCUCUAACUCGGAAGAGACUACUUGUAGGUAUUCUUCCAUAGGUCGAGUGCCUUCUUGCCUUGGUCUGGGGAUAUUAUCAUUAACUCUUCUACCCCACCAACUGUUAUAUUCAGGCUCGUCAUUGGUCCUACAGCAACUCUUUUCAUUCGAUGAAUCUGAUUCCAAGCGCUAGAAAUCUCCUUAAUCUUUUUCUUGUAGUUAACUCUCCCACAUGUGAAUUCAAAUUGAGCUAGCCCAUGCGUUGCCGGUAUAAACUGUCUCGAUCCGUAUUGCCUUAGUACAAGCAAAUGAGCAUAUCCAACGUCUCCCCAAAUUCCAGGUAGAGGUACCCAAUCAAAACUCCCACACCAAUAGAGGAUCUCAUCGGGAACCAACCAAGGAGCUCUCCACUCAACAUCCUCCUCUUGGAGAUUUCAAAGUAGUGUGACCCAAUUUUUCUCUGAUAUGUUAUCUCUUCUAGGUGUAACCGCUAUCUCUCUUAAUGGGGAGUAGUUCUCGGAGAAAACCCGAUAAGAAACUUUAUCUACCUUCCAAAAAUGGCUAUAGAACCAAGCCAACAAUAACUACGCGCACCCUAUAAAUCUGCCUUCUCUAGCUCUCCUGCAUGCAUUCAAAGAUCUAAAUGUCUCAACCAAGAUUGCCGGAAUAGAUGUGACUCAUUUUUCAAGUCAGUCAAAGAGAUCCGAGAUUGCCUCAUCUACAUACCCUAAUGCCCUAGGGAAAAUUAUUAAACCAUAGAUACUCUAGGCAAAGACAUCAACUCUCUUUUUCGUAUCAGGAUGCACUAGAAUCAGAUCCCUCAAACUCCUUCAUGGGAUGCACUUACAUUCCCUUUUUUGCUUGACCCUUGCUGCAAUCCACUGCUCACUCAUCCCUCUAACAUUCAUCAAUUUCUUUACAAAAGGUGGGGCAUUAGUAGCCUUGGAAUAUGCUCUAUCGACCUGAACCUUCGGACAAUGAAGUAAAGCUGUAUAUUCUUCUACGGUGGGUACCAGAUCUACCCUCCCAAAGGUAAAACAACUGUAGGCAGGAUUCCAAUACUGAGUGAGGGCCCGGCAUAAAUGUUCGUCUACCUUGAUGUCAAGUAAGUAAGGCAAAUCCCCAUAACUACCAUAGAACAACCACUUGGUCUCUUCAUCCCACUGGUCCCAUAUCUCUUUUAAUUCUUGAAGAUCAUUUUGCGUCACACUAAUGCGGGUGUAAUCACACAAUUCUGAUGUAUACCCAUCAGCAAGACUGUCCUCUUUCUCUAAUUGUGUUUUCUCUUACCAUAUACGGACAGCGACAUUAUCUUCUACUUUAUCAAGAAAUUCGUUCUCCAUGACAAGCUCCCUAAAUUAGUAAUCGAACGUGAAUCGACACCUCUUUAAAAUGAAAUGACAUGCAACCAUGGCCAAAAUAAAACACAACAAGUUAGUAUAAUAUACCAAAUAUAAAAGUCAAAGUAAAUGAAAAAAUAAUCAAGCACCAACUUGGGUGAUUGCUAGGGUUUGAAGUGACUCUACCUAGGGUUGGGCUCUUAAGGCUCAUUAUAUGCGGUUUGGUUCUAAAGAAAAGGGUACCUGAACCAGCAGAUUCCUCGAUCCUCACCCAUUAUAGCCUCAUAUGGACCGAGUUCAGUUCAGGGGAAUACAUUUCCCUAUGGCGGCACGAAGGUGAAAAUCUCACAAAGACAUAGGUACGGAUGUAUCCCGAAAGCGAUCCACUAUCUUGCACGAAGGUGAAAACCUCACGAAGGAAAUAGUUUCUCACUCCCACUUAAAAGGUGCGACCACAAUGGUCAUGCAAAAUGAUGCAAAGGGAUAUAAAAACUCAAAAUAUAAAACAUGAAUAAAAUGAUGAUCCAUAAAACCAAUUAAAUGCAAUGAAAGGAUCGUAUGUUAAAAAAUCAACUUUUAAUUUUUGAAAAAAGGAUAGAAAAUAAUCAAUUUUACGGCUUGACUCUCUUAUUGUAUAGAAAAUAAUCAAUUUUACGGCUUGACUCUCUUAUUGUCCCCAGUGGAGUCGCCAAGCUGUCGAAACCAUUUUUAUUUUGAAAAACGGAGGUCGACUUUAAAACGAAAAUAGAGUCGCCACCAAUCCUUUUUGUUUAGGUGUGAUCGGGUCAUCUUAUGAUCGAUCAUUUUAAUAAAGCAUUUUGGUUUAUUAAAACAACGUUUUUGGUCUACGAAAAAUUAGAAAAUGGAUUCGGGAGUCAGUUACACGCGAGGAAGGAUUAGCACCCUUGCAACGCCCAAAAUUGAUACCGUAUCGGUCAAUUAACGUCCUAAUGUUGAAAUUUUGAAAAAUAUUUUAAAAUACAAUUUCUUUAAAACGUUUGGAUAACUUGAAUUGGAUAUUGAGAUUCUCUCGUUUAAAAGGAAUAAAAUAUCAUAUCCAGCACGAUAGGAUACAACAUUUCGAACCCUCGAUACAAGAUCAUCUCAUGAUUUGCAAAAUACAUGCAUUUGAAAUUUAAAAAGGAUAUUUGGCUAUUUUGCCAAAUGGUAAAUCGAAACCUAGCACGAUUGGACACGAUUUAUCGAAUUUCCAAAUACGAAAUAUUGCCUCAUGUUAAUUUAAGAAAACAUGGACGAAAUUUCAAAAGGAAUAUUCUGCACUUUAGUCGAAUGAAAAAUUGAAACCCAGCACGAUUGGGCAUGAUCUCUCAAACUCCCCAAAUUCGAAAUAUUGCCUCGUUUUAAUUUAAGAAAACAUGGAUGAAAUUUCAAAAGGAAUAUUCCGCACUUUAGUCGAAUGGAAAAUCGAAACCCAGCACGAUUGGGCACGAUCUCUCAAGCUCCCCAAAUUCGAAAUAUUGCCUCGUUUUAAUUUAAGAAAACAUAGACAAAAUUCCAAAAGGAUAUUUUGUAUUUUAGUCAAAUGAAAAAUCGAAACCCAGCACAAUUGGGCAUGAUCUCUCAAACUCCCAAACACGAAAUAUUUCCUUAUGUUGAGGGGACUCAAGUUAACAAUUAUAAAAAUCGUGUCAAAAUACUUGUUUGGUUUGUUUGGAAAUAAAAGACAAUCAACAUUUAGAGAAUACGAGAAUCAUAAUCAUAAUGCACUAGCAAGAAAUACAAGCAUAAUUACUUGCAUGAAACAAUAAUAGAUUGCUAUACUAUGAAAAUCAGGAAUGACACAUAAUACAUAAAGCAAUAUGAAAAUUUGGAACCGACAUAACGCAAAACAAUUUAAAACCUAUAUGAAAAUAUUUCACAAAGGAAUAACACACGCUAGAAUUCAAAAUACCUUAUAUGUACAUAAAACUGAUAAUAUAUAAACGAUUAUUAAAUUAUAUAAUAAGCAAGAAGCAAUUCAAAAUAAAUAACAUAUAACAUAACUUCAAAUAAAAACCAAUUAAUUUGUCUAACAAUAUAUAUACGCAAGUGAAGAAAUAAUGUAAAUAAGGUAUAUACAAAGAGAUUACUAUAUGAAAGUAAAAUAAUCAAAAUAUACAAUCAAAAAUAGGAUCUUUAAAAGAAAAUAUGCAUAAAUGAAUUUAAAAAGGAGGAAAAUAUAUAUAAUAAGCUUAAGGGAAAAAUAUAUGUAUAUAUAUAACAAAUAUAAAAGAAAAUAUUUACAAAAAAUAAUGUGAAAACGAUAAUGUACAUAGAACAAAACAAAUUUUAACAUAGACUGUAUAUAUACGAAUAACAUAAGGGUGAUUAAAUUAAAUAUUGCACAUAACUUUAAAACAAUAUGACAUAAAAGAAUCUUUUUAAAAUAACAACUAUAUAAUUAAAAAAAUAGAUACCAAUAAAAUACCAAGUUGAAAUGAGGUAAAAAUAAUUAGAAUAACCCAGAAUAUAUAUUUAAAUAAUUUUAAAAGAAACGAAUAUUAAGUAAAUUUUAAAAAUAAAAAAAUAAAAGAUUAAUCAUUGAAAUGGAAAAAUGAACUUAAUUGAUAUAGAAUUGAUCUAAAAUGGAUAAAAUAAAACAUUACAACAAAACUAAGGGCUAAAUCGCAAUGCAUGCAAAUACACAGGGAUUGAAAAUGCAAAUGUUCCAACUCAUAAAAUACACUGCACAAGCGCAGACUGAAUUGAAACAUCGCGCAGACUUUAGAGAGAAAUUGAAAAAGCAUAAUAAGUCGAAUUGAAGAUGGCGCAAACUAGGAAGGACUGGAUGCGAAAUUUCCCAUUUAAAGGGAAAAUGUGCAGAUCCAGCCUUGGACUGGGUCAACGCGCAGGCUACUCCCCCCACAAUGGUUCUGCUGUUUAAAAAAAUUAAUUGAAACUUCUAUUUUGUUUCUUUUUCUUUAAAACAUUAAAACCUUUUAGAAAACCCUAAAAUUUUAAAAUAUCAUUCUCUUCAUUUUUUCUAAAAAAAACAGAGAGAAGGCUUUCAAAUCUCUUUCCCUUUUCGACCAAAGCCACCUUCAUCGGAGAUCCGGCGCGCCCAGACUACCAACGACGGGGAAAAAAAACUUAAAAUCACCUUUAACGAGUAUUGUUGCUUUUGAUCUCUGUUUGUGCUUGGUUUUGUGUAUACUUUUGUAUUCAAAUCGUAAAAAAAAGGGCCCCUUUACAAUACAUUUUCAAAGGCUUUUAUAGCCAAUUUUACAACCUAUUUUACUUCUUUGCAGGUUCAUGGGUGUGCAUGUCUCUAACGUGGCGUGGUGGAGCGGCGCACGUUGUCGGGAGGUGGCUUUUGGUGCGUGAGGGAGGCGUGCGGCGACUGAGACCUUUAGGUAGAUUAGCGUUUUUUCAAAAAUGUUAAGGUGUUGGGCUAGAACUUUUGGCUAGGGUUAGGUAUUUGGAUUGGGUUUCAGGUUUGGGCCUAUUGUAAUUGGGUUUGAGUGUAUUUAUUUUUGCUUGUGUGUUUAGUUUUUUUUAAUGGUUUGGGCCGGGCAAUUUUGGGCCAUAACAGAACGCUAUCGUGCAUUGAGCAAAAUUUCAGACCAUCCAACGCAUUUGCUCAUAUGAGUGAGAAGAUUUUUUUCUAACCAUUAAAAAUCAUGGUUGUGUUGGUGAUGUUUUGGUAACUUUUUAUAUAUGUAAUAUUUAGAUUGUAUAAUGACAUGAUAGAAUGCCACGUACUAUUGUAACUUUUUAACAUAUAUAUUAUGACAUAUAAGGUAAUGAUAUCAUAUAACUUUUUGUUAAUGUUUGAAUAUUAUGUUUGGAUGUAAAAUAUAAUUCUCAAUUUAUUUACUUCUUCUAA